AACGCACCUUGCGCUCCUUGGUAUUCCGAGGAGCAUGCCUGUAUGAGUGUCAUGAAAACCCUCAACCUUAGAUUGGUUAUUUGACCUUUCUUUGGCUUGGAUUUGGACGUUUGCCGAUGUCAAGUCGGCUCGUCUUAAAAGUAAUAGCUGGAUCUGUCUCGCGACAUGGUUUGACUUGGCGUAAUAAGUAUUUCGCUAAGGACAUCUUCGGAUGGCCCUGUUGCAGGACUAAAGACCGCUUUCUAAUCCAUUGAUCUUCGGAUUAAUAUUCAUAACAUCUGGCCUCAAAUCAGGUAGGACUACCCGCUGAACUUAA
rnacentral:misc_RNA from 1 species